AGGGAAACCGAGUCUUAACUGGGCGUUAAGUUGCAGGGUAUAGACCCGAAACCCGGUGAUCUAGCCAUGGGCAGGUUGAAGGUUGGGUAACACUAACUGGAGGACCGAACCGACUAAUGUUGAAAAAUUAGCGGAUGACUUGUGGCUGGGGGUGAAAGGCCAAUCAAACCGGGAGAUAGCUGGUUCUCCCCGAAAGCUAUUUAGGUAGCGCCUCGUGAACUCAUCUUCGGGGGUAGAGCACUGUUUCGGCUAGGGGGUCAUCCCGACUUACCAACCCGAUGCAAACUGCGAAUACCGAAGAAUGUUAUCACGGGAGACACACGGCGGGUGCUAACGUCCGUCGUGAAGAGGGAAACAACCCAGACCGCCAGCUAAGGUCCCAAAGUCACAGUUAAGUGGGAAACGAUGUGGGAAGGCUCAGACAGCCAGGAUGUUGGCUUAGAAGCAGCCAUCAUUUAAAGAAAGCGUAAUAGCUCACUGGUCGAGUCGGCCUGCGCGGAAGAUGUAACGGGGCUAAACUGUGCACCGAAGCUGCGGCAGCGACGCUUAUGCGUUGUUGGGUAGGGGUGCGUUCUGUAAGCCUGCGAAGGUGUCCUGUGAGGGAUGCUGGAGGUAUCAGAAGUGCGAAUGCUGACAUAAGUAACGAUAAUGCGGGUGAAAAGCCCGCUCGCCGGAAGACCAAGGGUUCCUGUCCAACGUUAAUCGGGGCAGGGUGAGUCGACCCCUAAGGCGAGGCCGAAAGGCGUAGUCGAUGGGAAACGGGUUAAUAUUCCCGUACUUGGUGUUACUGCGAAGGGGGGACGGAGAAGGCUAUGUUGGCCGGGCGACGGUUGUCCCGGUUUAAGCGUGUAGGCUGGUUUUCCAGGCAAAUCCGGAAAAUCAAGGCUGAGGCGUGAUGACGAGGCACUACGGUGCUGAAGCAACAAAUGCCCUGCUUCCAGGAAAAGCCUCUAAGCAUCAGGUAACAUCAAAUCGUACCCCAAACCGACACAGGUGGUCAGGUAGAGAAUACCAAGGCGCUUGAGAGAACUCGGGUGAAGGAACUAGGCAAAAUGGUGCCGUAACUUCGGGAGAAGGCACGCUGACACGUAGGUGAAGUGAUUUACUCA
rnacentral:rRNA from 1 species